UAGGAGAAAAACUGCCGUUUUAUCCCGCCAGGUAUCGCACAAUCGACACUGCUUAACCUCAACUUGUCAUCUGUCAAAUCCUAUACAUUUUUUGUUAAUUACAUCGUGAGAUUACAAUUAUUGGGUAAUAUCUUAUUAAAAUGGCCCUGUGUAGUGCUUUAGACUGCAAAAAUAAAGGCGUUCACGCUUUCCCUAAAGACCCAAAGCGUAGAAAGGCUUGGGAGAAAGCGUUAAGAAUCAAAAACUUUAAAGCAAAAGACUCAUCGCGAUUAUGUUCCAUGCAUUUUACAUCAGAUGACUAUUACGGACAAAGUAUAUACACAAAUUACGAGCCGAAAGCGAGAUUCUUGAAGAAAACUGCUGUACCUUCAAUAUUUUCAUUCAACAUUUCAAGAUUAGAUACAGCAAGUGCAACAGCCCGUCAGCAGCGACUUGAGAUGAGGUCUCAGAAAAAGUUACGGUUUGAAGAGACUGUGACCCCAUCAACAAGCCACCAACCAUCAAUUAAUGAAGAAAGAAUGGUGCCCCACUCCAUGGACGUAGAAGAAACUGUAACUCCAACAUCAAUAAAUCAAGAAAGUACAGUGCCAAUCUUCAUGGACGUUGCUAGUGAAAUAGAAAUCAGUGCGAAUAUAAAUGAUUUUACAGUACCUAUUUUAAAUAAUCCUAAAUUCUCAUCUAAAGAGACGCAAAUUGACAUGGAACAUGUAUUUGGAACAAUACAUAGAUUCAAAAAUGAUGAUAAAGCAAUUCAAUUUUAUACAGGCUUACCGGAAGUUCUUUUUUGUUUACUCAACUUUGAGUCCUAUGGCCCAUAAAAUACAGUAUUAUGGUAGUUCUGUUAUUUUGCUCAGUACUGAAGAUCAGUUCUUUUUAACAAUAAUGAAAUUAAGACAAAAUAAAUGUAUUUUUGAACUAAGCAGAUUUUUUAAUGUAAGUACUACAACAGUGUCAAAUAUAUUUAUUACCUGGAUAAAUUUCAUGUAUCAACUAUGGAUAAAACUCGACACAUGGCCAAGCAAAGACUUGGUACAUUAUUAUAUGCCGGAACAUUUUAAAAAUUAUAAUGCGAAUAUAAGGGUGAUUUUAGAUGGGACCGAAUUUCAUGUACAGAAACCUAAAAACCCAACGUCUCAACAAGCGUCAUGGAGUAGCUACAAGCAUGCAAAUACUCUUAAAGUUCUUGUUGGAGGAACACCGGGGGGAUUGUUAUCAUACUGCUCUCCUGCAUAUGCUGGGUCGGUCAGUGACAGGCAAACAGUGGAGAGAAGUAAUUUAAUUAGUAAAUGUGAAAGUGGUGACUGCAUUUUAGCAGAUCGGGGAUUUAAUAUUCAGGACAUGUUUGCACACAAAAAUGUUGCUGUAAAUAUACCUACUUUUUUAAAGGGCAAAACACAGUUACCAGGUUUAACAGUGUUAAAAGAUAGGAAUCUAGCUAGUAAAAGAGUGCACAUUGAACGCUUAAUUGGCCUCACUAAAACAUAUAAGAUUUUAAAAAGUGAUCUGGAUCACAGUUACAUUCCAAUUGCAGGUAAAAUAUUUUUUAUAUGUACUAUGUGUUGUAAUUUUAGAGAAAGCAUAAUGAAAUAAGCAUAAUCGAAUAGAACACAACGAGUGGUUAUUAAUGGAACUCAAUCUGCCGGCUCCCCAGUAGCACUUGGAGUGCCUCAAGGCUCAAUACUUGGCCCGUUUCUGUUCUUGGUUUACAUUAAUGAUCUACCGAAACUUGUGCAAGAUAAACAUGUUAUAGUCUUGUUUGCUGAUGACACAUCUCUGUUGUUCAAGGUAGACAGAAAAGCAAUUAACUACGACAGUAUUAACAAUGCACUAUCCACCGUAGUUAACUGGUUUACGACAAAUAACCUUUACAUCUCUAUGUGACAGUAAUGUAUAGUUAUUAAUUAGGUUGUGACGACAUGUAUGUAAUCAUACAAAAUAAGCACAAAAUGUGAAGUCUCGCCAGCCUAAACGUGUUUAGCUUUUAUUAUAAAUAGAGCCCGCCAGCUUGAACAUGUCAUGCUCGCUGAAAAGUCUUUGCUUAUGGUGGCGACGUUGAUCGGGUCGCCACUUUCCCAAAGAAAGGUUGAGGGAGGCGAUGGCUGAGAUACGCGUCAUACUCGUGAACGGGUGCUGUUUGUGAAGACUGGUCUGUUUUAGCUUACUGUGGUUCCAUAUUUAUGUAGUAACACAUUAUGAAUAUAUUGAGAUUAAUUUGGCGUGGAGAGACAUUUCAUUCGGUGCUAGUUAUACAUAAUUUUAUCUUUAGUUUUUAUCUAGAAUAUAGGACACUUGGAGACCUUUUACAUCUCUAAGGGUUUUUUUUUUUAAUACAAUUCUGUAAGUUUGAUUUCAUUCUAAAAGAGAAUAAUCUCUUUUUAAAUUUGUAAUUUAUGGUAAAGGACACAGUUCAGGGAAGAAAGUAUAUCAAACGGUAAGCAAAGCACCUACUUAAAUUUUUGCAGUUUAAUUUCACUCUUUUAUUUUUUUGGCGCGUUCUUUGUUGAUAGCUGUGAUUUGUCUCUUAAAGUAGUUUGAUAUGUUUUCUCACAGAACAGUGAAAGUAUCUUAAUAUAGUCUUUAAGUAUCAUUGUACUGUUUUGAAAAAAUAAGUCCCGCCGAGUUUCUUGGCCGGUUCUUCUCGGGUCAGAGGUGUAGGGUGGAAUCGGUGGUAGAUUUAGGUUCAUUUUCUUUUUUUUCUGUUUAGUACGACGUGUAAAAGUGCCCUUGUGGCCUACUUACUGAAUAAAUUUUAUUUUAUUUUUAUUUUUAUUUUAUAAAUAAUUGUGUUAAGUUUAGUUGACACGGAAAAUAAAUAAAACAAAAAUAUUA